CUUUCCUGAUUUAUUUCCACUGCUGUUCUUCCCCUUGAAACCUACUCCCCAUACUCCAUUUGUUCACUGAGUUGUUAACCACAGAGAGGGAACGAUGAAAAACCCAACAGUUCCGAUAAUAAGAUGAAAAUAUCUCUCAAUGCCAGGGCUUUUACUCUACCACAUCGAUAACAGUUUAAAGCUUUUCCUCUUUGGACAGAGAAAAUCACAGCCAUUGGGGAGCCCAACCAAUGAACUUUCUGGGAGAUAUUUUCUCUUUUAUAGCAUUCUCCUUCCUGUUCAGCUGCUCCUGUGACUUUGCUGCUGUCCAUUGAUGGCCUACAACAGAAGGACUUCAUGCUAUUUCAGAAUGGAUUCCAGACCUAGAGCUUCAGCAUAGGUUUCUGAUGCCUGGCUGCAAGCAGUGUCUUCCCUCUCCCUUACACAAACACCUGCAGUUAUAUGCAACUAUGAGAUAAAGCACCUAAUUGCAGAAUUGUCAACAUGCUAUCAUUUCAUCUUCACACCUUGCCAGAAGCUUUGAAACGCAAGGAAAAAAGGUGGCAUGAGAGGAACAUUUCCCUCAUAACAAUUGCUAAAAUAAUCAAAUGCAUGUACUACACAACUAAAAAUGUGUUUGUAUGUUAUUAUUUAUUUCCCCUUUUGAGGAAUAGGAAUAGAAAUUAUAGUUACUCCAGAACUGGUGGUAGUUUGGGGCAGAGCCCUGAUCGAAUGUGAUUCUUGGUGUAGUUUCCUGUUGUUCAGCUCAAGAAUACAAAGCUUGGGGGGGGGGUUUGCCUUUUAUUGGGUCAUGGUUCUGGGGUCAGCAGAAAUGAGGAUGAUUAUAGGUCAACUGUUUUGGAGGACUGAAGAAUAGAAGUGAGGGUAGUAUAGAAGUAUUUUUAUACUAAUUAUUCAUUUCGAGGAUUUCUAGCAUUAUUCUCCUUUGUCCAGACAGAUGUCAUUGUUAUUCAUAUCUAAUGAGAAUGUAACAUAGCAUUUGCUUUUGACUGACUUUUGAAUAAUGUGUGUAAUUAAAGCCAAGGAAGAAAAAGCAGGGUCAGAGACACAAAAAAUGACAGAAAAAGUAAUAGACAUACAAAAAAGGCAAGCUGUAACACUGCUAAACAAUUG